UCCGGUGAUGAUGGCGAGAAGGUCACACCCGUUCCCAUCCCGAACACGGAAGUUAAGCUUCUCAGCGCCGAUGGUAGUUGGGGGCAUCCCCUGCGAGAGUAGGACGUUGCCGGGC
rnacentral:rRNA from 1 species